AGGAGCGGAAAACCCGGCAAGGAGAGCCUUUGGAAGCAGGGAAAAGGGAAAGGGAAGCAGAGGCUGUAAAUAUUUGCCUGAACUUCCCCAGGCUGGGAUUAGACUGUGCAGAGGUGGGAAAGAGGGGAGAGAACAGCAGAGGUGAGAAUAUCAGAGGUGGGAAAGAGGGGAGAGAACAUCAGAGGUGAGAAAGUGGGAAGAGAACACCAGGCAGGGUUAAAACGGGGCUGGUGUGCUUUGAACAGAAAUAGAGGCGAGUGGUUGUCACCUAAAGGUGGAGCUGGGAUGUGCUGCUGCCUUUUAGCAGCUUUUCCUUGG